rnacentral:lncRNA from 10 species
GGAACAGGAAAAACUAGAAAGAAAUCAAGGCAAAAGCCAUCUCAGAAUGGUUGCUUGGAUUGCAAAUUAGAUAUGUGUUUGCAGCUUGACAGGUGGAAAAAAGAAACCAAUGUCAUUUCAGACAUCGCCAUGGAGGACUCACAUCCCUGAGGUCAAUGAUCUGCCCCUUCCGUGUGAUUCUGAUGAGACCAAACCUAGAAUACUGAAUGUAGUUCUGGACUCUCAAAGCAAUAAAUAUGGUGACAAAUGGGUGAGCGUUUGGAGAAGAGCAAUAAAAAUGAUUGAAGAGCCCAAGGGAGUGAUUUAUGAUAAAGGGAUAGAAGAACUCAACUCUGAGAACUUAGCCAGCUGAUGACUAAGUCAAGGCAUGAUAGAUGCCCAUAGAUGUUAGGAGAGGGCAAAUGUUCUGGAACAGGUUGAAGUUGGGGGAUAAGGACAAGAGAAAAUGCAGUUGGGGAAAGGAAAUCUGAGUCACAGGUCAGAAAACUUGGGGAAGUCAAAACGCCAUGAAAUUUUUCUGUUCGUGAAAAUGAAGGAUUGCUCAGUUUUGGCAGAAUUUGAGAUCAUAUCACAGAGAGAGCCCACAAAUUUUAGAGGAAGGUGUUUGUAGAAGGGCAGCUACAUAUGAGGCAGCCUGUUAUUGAAAGAUUGGGGAGAAGGGCAGAAGGUUUGGCUGAUAGAUGUGCAGUGGGAUAUGAAUGAGUAAUACCACUGGCUAUUUACAUUCUAUGGAGUCCCCUUACCAUCUUUGCCUCUGAAAUGUUUGCAUAGUUUCUGGGGAUCCAAAAUUUUAGCUAAUGGGAUGGCUAAGAAUUGCGGUGGACUGUGGUUCUUACUGAUUAAAAUAGUGUAAAAAAGUGAUGGAUAACCAAUCUCUGUCUCUUAGCUGCUGACUUGCUGCUGGAGAAAACAAUGACAAAAUAUUUCACUUCUGCCCUGAGUGAUCCAGGCUGGCUCGCUGUAGUGACUGGAUUUGGUGGUUAAUCACUCAAGCCUCCACAUCUCUAGCCUUGUAGACAGAUCAUGUGAGGAUGGGCCUGACUUCACUUGAUAAUUGCAUAAGCCUUCAUCAUUCCCUCUGGCUGUAUGUAGAGACAGUCUUAGGAUGUAGACAAGAGUCUCAGGGGAAAUGUUUGAGGUCCCAGCAUAAGUGUCAUUUAAAACAAGACAGGCUAAAGCAGUGAGUUAUAGACUGACAGAAACAUUAGCCCCAGGAAAUAGACAAGAAGACCUAAUCUGUCAUUUCCAUCUUUAAUUUCCAUUAUUCUAUGAUCAUCACUGUCUAUGAGGUCUCAUUUUGGACACUAAUAAAAUAAUGGAGCAACUGUUAGGAGGAGGAAAAAAGUGAGUACCUUGAGGAUAAUGGAACCAGGAGUGAUAAGCAGUGUGAGUUUAUAUGUACUCAGUAUUAAAAAAGCGCCAGACAAAUGACUGUAUUUUUCCUCAUAAAAUGACAAGGUAAGUGAAAAGUAUAAGAUGCCAUACAUCUUGAUUUAAAUCAGGGAUCCGAUGCCAUGUUUCUUUAAAUGAUUCUCACAAAAUUAAUCGAAAUUUGUUUGAACAUGAAGACUGUCACUCGAAUUGAAAACUGUCUGACAGAUUGCCAACUAAUGAUACAUAUUGGGGUAUUAUGGAAAAAUCAAUGGUAUGUCUGAUUUUCCUGAAUAUUUUAUUUAAUUCUCCUGAAGUGGAGGUAAGCAGCCCAUGUGUGAAUGGUUUUCACUUCAUAUUCUUGUAUUGCGUACAUUAAAAUAGCUGAACAUUCCUUUGAAGUAGAACAACCAAAUCCUAGGCCAAAUAGUUAAAACAAAUUCUUUAGUGAAGUAUCAAGGUCAAUGUACCAGGAGAAAAGUAGCAAUAAGCCUUUAUGACUUUCAGACAAGGAAGAAAAUUGAUCAAGGACACUAAUAUAAGAAGUUACAAAUUGAUUUUUUUUUUGAGGUGGAGGAGUGGCACCUGCAACUUUACCCAGCCUCUGCCUCCUUCUAGUUUCCUGGUCCUGAAUGUGCAUGUGUGUGUGUUUGUGUGUGUGCACGCAUGUGUGUGCAUGUGUGUAUGCAUGUGUGUGGUGUAUGUGUGUGUGUGCAUGCAUGUGUGUGUGUGGUGUGUGUGUGUGUGUGAGUGGUGCCUGUGCAUUAUGUGUGCACAUGUGGUAUAUGUGUGAUUGUAUGGUAUGUGUGUGUUUGUGUGUGUGUGUGUGUGUAUG